GUUUUCAGUGGUGCCACUGUUGUUCUCAUAUUUUGUCUUGAUUAACACAUUUAAUUUGGGUAUGAAGGAGCACUAUGUAUAGAAAAGAGUGUAGGGAUAAUAAUUCCAUGAUUUUUCAAUCACAUAGAAAACGCGAGGACAAAUCGCUUGUAUCCAGUAGGGAAGGCGACUGAAAAAGAGAGAGGGAGAGAGAGAAUGCGCAUUAGCUAAGUAUCAACUUAUGUGUUGACAACGACGGUGAAUACUCUUACCUGGACAGGUGUAUGCGUUUUUCUGUAUACUGUCCCUUGCCAUGCACGGGAUCCUCACAGGGCUUGUUCUCCAUCACCUCAACCCCCUCGCCUUCGUCGGACUGUUCAAGACUGUGGCGCGCAAUCAUAUACAGCUGUCCAAUUUUAUACUAAGCAUCAAGUGUUGAAUGAGUGUUAGGAUGAAUGGAUAGGAAAAUUGAGUGACACCGUUGUUUAUGGCUAGUUCUCACCUCAUCCACAGUGAGCGGCAUGCAAACACGAUAUUCCUUAAUUAAUACCAUCUCGCGAAUUGAUAAUUUUGUAAAAUAUAAAUAAACGAAACUUCAAGUUACGCAAAGAACGAAACACGAGCGAGUCGCAACAGAAGCAACAACAAAAACUAAUGCUUUUAAAAAUCAAUCGACGUGUCUAUCGAUUGGCUUCUCGAUGAAUG